GCUUGCGCUAUGCUCGCAGGUGUCGCCCAAGGAUGGGGCCGCGACCGAUCAGGUUGUUGGUGAGGUAAUGGCUCACCAAGCCUUUUACCGGUGCGGGCCGUGGGAGCGGGAGCCCGGAGAUGGGCACUGAGACAAGGGCCCAUGCCCUACGGGGCGCACCAGUCGCGAAAACUUUGCAAUACACGAAAGUGUGACAGGGCUAUCCCGAGUGC
rnacentral:rRNA from 1 species